rnacentral:lncRNA from 1 species
CCUGUAACAGAAGUUGAGAUUGCCCAGGACAGGAGGGGACGGUCCAGUCACUGGAAGCAGAGGGAUGUGGGGUGCAGGGGAUGCAGCAGGAGAGCACAGGGGUGGCGCCAAAACUGAGUACAUGGUCAUUCUUCACCAACACAAGCAUGCAGCCUUGGUCCCCAUGUUCACCCUCCCCGAGGCUCACUUUCUCCCCUUCUGUGAAAUGAGAUUAUAAAGUGACUUUCCCUUCAUAGGACUGCUGCAGGAUGGAGAGAGACAGGGACAUUCCCUUUGGUGCCUUAGCCUGAGUGUUCUGAAGGCAGAGCUGAGGCAAAACAGUAUGUGUGAGUAGUUUAUUCUGGAACAUGACCCCGUAAGCAGGGAUGAGGGAAGGAGGGGCAAAAGCAGCAGAUGCCCAGCCAAUCGAAGGACACACCAUCAAAUUCACCACUGCUGUGGGCAAUGGGGCUCCACCCCAGGACCCCUCUGGAGGACCCCGUGAAAUGACUCCAAAUUAUCCACUCUGGAGAAGGAAGGCUCCUCCGCUCUUGGUCAGGCUGGCCCCAGGACCUGCUAAGUCACUGUGGUUUAAGAUUGCCUGGGAGCACAGACUGGGCAGGCUGCACGGGGCUAUGCUGCAGUCUCAGACCCUCCUGGGGAAGACGCGAGGGGCUUGUCCCUGGGCCUGACCUCCUGCCUGCUCUGAUUGCUUCUGUAUGGACUAGUCAGCACCUAUGCAGAGUGGUCCCUAUAAAAAGGCUUGAGUCUGAGAGUUCUAAGUUGGGCACGAAAGGAGAUCUGACUGGGGAUUUAGGGAAAAGCAAAAGCCAUCAGUCCCAGCUGUCUGACAUGGGUCUUUGCUGAGGGCUAGAUUUUCCCAAACUUGGAGCCAAGCAUUCCAGGGCAAGUAACUGA